ACUGAAAGUAUGAAAGUUUGGAACUAUCAAAAAAGCUAAAUGGAAACCAUUUCAAAAUGGGGUUACUUAAUCCCAGCACUCUGGGAGGCCGAGGCAGGAGAAUAACCUGAGGUCAGGAGUUUGAGACCAGCCUGACCAACAUGGUGAAACCCCGUCUCUACUAAAAAUACAAAAUUAGCCGGGGGCGGUAACGCGUGCCCGUAAUCCCAGCCACUUAGGAGGCUGAAGCAGGAGAAUCGCUUGAACUCCGGAGGCCGAGGUUGCAGUGAGCCAAGAUCGAGCCACUGCAUUCCAGCCUGGGCAACAAGAGCGAAACUCGGUCUCAAAAAACAAAACAAAACAAACAAAAAAACCCACAAAAAACAGAAAAUGGGGUUACUAUCAGGAAUCUGGAUACUGACUAAUGAAAAUGCAAGUGGGCUGGGCGCGGUGGCUCACGCCUGUAAUCCCAGCACUUUGGGAAGCCGAGCCGGGCGGAUCACGAGGUCAGGAGAUCGAGACCAUCCUGGCUAACACGGUGAAACCCCGUCUCUACUAAAAAUAUAAAAAAUGAGCCGGGUGUGGUGGCGGGCACCUGUAGUCCCAGCUACUCGGGAGGCUAAGGCAGGAGUAUGGCGUGAACCCGGGAGACGGAGCUUGCAGUGAGCUGAGAUCACGCCACUGCACUUCAGCCUGGUCUACAGAGCAAGACUCCGUCUCAAAAAAAAAAAAAAAAAAAAAGAAAGAAAAUGCUAGUGGUCUGGCUGAAGAAGGAGAAGAGGGAAUUCAUUAGUGUGGUGGGCACUCCUGGUCAGCAUUUGUUCUUGUCGCAACUCCGGGAAUGAGCCCUGAUUUGACUACGCCAAUUAUCAUAAUUCCCCAUUUCACCCUCCCAUGAUCCAAGUUCUUCCAUUCAGAGCAAGCCUAGGAUUUUAGUUUGCUGAAUUGAGAGAAAGAGAUGCUCUCUCUUCCUUCCUUCCUUCCUCCUUUCCUGUCUUCCUUUCUCUCUUUCUCUCUCUUUCUCUCUUUCUUUUUCUCUCUUUCUCUUUCUCUCUCUCUCUCUUUCUUUCUCUCUCUUUCUCUUUUCUUUCUGUCUCGCUCUGUCAUCCAGGCUGGAGUGCAGUGGCAUGAUCUCGGCUCACUGCAACCUUCGCCUCCCGGGUUCAAGCGAUUCUUCUGCCUCAGUCUGCCAAGUAGUUGAGACUACAGGCGCGCAUCACUAUGCCCAGCUAAUUUUUGUAUUUUUAGUAGAGAUGGGGUUUCACCAUAUUGGCCAGGCUGGUCUCGAACUCCUGACCUUGUGAUCUGCCCAUCUCGGCUUCCCAAAGUGCUGGGAUUACAGGUGUGAACCACUGCACCCAGACUGCUCUCUGUUUUCCAUGGCAUGGCCAGAGAUCUGAGGCAUGGAUGUGCCACAGCCAAUCUGCAGCUAGUCAAGACACCAGCCAAGGAAAAUGGCCACAUGUCCAAGAGGCAUAUGCUAAAGAAUGGAGCCAGAGCCUUGAUCGCACUGCACUUGAACCCUAGCUCUGGAAAUUUUGGUUAAAUGAGCCAAUUGAUUCCAAUUAUCAUUUAAGCCAGUUUCAGUGGGGUUUUUCUCUUCCUUUCUUUCUUUCUUUCUUUUUUUUUUUUUUUUUUGGGUAGGGUCUUGCUCUGUUGUCCAGGCUGGAAUACAGUGGCACAAUCAUGGCUCAUUGCAACCUCAACCUGCUAGGCUUAAGGGAUCCUCCCGCCUCAGCCUCCCAAGUAGCUGGGACUACAGGUGAGCACCACCACGUCCAACUAAGUAAAAAAAAAAUUUUUUUUUUAAGAGACAACGUCCCACUAUGUUGCCCAGGCUGGCCUCCUACUCCUAAACUCAAGUGAUCCUCCCGUGUGGAGCACCAAAACUGCUAGGAUUAUAGGUGUGAGCCACCUCAGCUGGCCUGGGUUGGGUUUUCUUUUUCUGUUUU
rnacentral:lncRNA from 1 species